AACGUAGGAGACGAACGUUAUCCGGAGUUACUGGGCGUAAAGAGCGCGCAGGCGGUCGAUCAAGUCGGGUGUGAAAGCCCCCGGCUCAACUGGGGAGGGGCACGCGAUACUGAUCGACUCGAAGGCAGGAGAGGGUAGUGGAAUUCCCGGUGUAGUGGUGAAAUGCGUAGAUAUCGGGAGGAAACACAGUGGCGAAGGCGACUACCUGGCCUGUUUCUUGACGCUGAGGCGCGAAAGCUAGGGGAGCAAACGGG
rnacentral:rRNA from 1 species